CACGUAGGGCGCGAGCGUUGUCCGGAAUUAUUGGGCGUAAAGAGCUCGUAGGCGGCCUGUUGCGUCCGCUGUGAAAGCCCGGGGCUUAACCCCGGGUCUGCAGUGGAUACGGGCAGGCUAGAGGUAGGUAGGGGAGAAUGGAAUUCCCGGUGUAGCGGUGAAAUGCGCAGAUAUCAGGAGGAACACCGGUGGCGAAGGCGGUUCUCUGGGCCUUAUCUGACGCUGAGGAGCGAAAGCGUGGGGAGCGAACAGG
rnacentral:rRNA from 1 species